rnacentral:rRNA from 1 species
UACGUAGGGGGCAAGCGUUGUUCGGAAUUACUGGGCGUAAAGGGCGCGUAGGCGGCACGGCAAGUCGGGAGUGAAAGCCCGGGGCUCAACCCCGGAGGGUCUCUCGAAACUGCCGAGCUAGAGUGCGGAAGAGGCAAUCGGAAUUCCCAGUGUAGCGGUGAAAUGCGUAGAUAUUCGGAGGAACACCAGUGGCGAAGGCGGCUCACUGGUCCGGUACUGACGCUGAGGUGCGAAAGCGUGGGGAGCAAACAGG